AGCUCAAAGUAAUAACAUGUCAUAAAUAUGAUUACGUAUAUAAAACGUUAUAUAGGUUAAUAAAACAUAAUAAUAAUGCUAAAUAAUAAUAAUAGUAACAGUAAAGUAAAACUAGUAGUAAACUAAUAAAAAUAAUAAAACAAAGGACCGAUUUAGAAUUAAAUAGAAAUUUAGUAGCAAAUCUUGACAUAAAUAGAAAAGAAAGGACCAGAUUGAAUCAUGGUGAAAAAUAAUAAGGACCUGGAACAUAAAUAACCCUCCCCAUACCAAAACGCGCGGGUCAAGCUGCAAGCGGAUCGGGUCAUCGGGUCUGAGCCUUAUACGACGUCGUUUUGAGGCUACUGAAGCAAGCCACAAACGACGUCGUUUCACAGUUGCUUUAAGACUCAAAAAGAAAGGGAAAAAUUCAGUCUGUAUCAGCAAAAAAAAACAAUAAUAAGAACAAGAGAAACCCUAAGGGUUUCCCCCUUUUUUCUAUCCGCCGCUUGAAGCCGCUCUUCUUCAACACCGAUUUGGACGGAGCAAAGAAGAGCUUCGACGGCGCCAAGGUUUGUGGAGUCCAUUGGCAGAAAGCUUUGCCAUUUUGGUGCAAAAAUGGAUGGAGGCGUCGUCAUCGGGCGUGGUGCGCGCUGAGGGCGCACAUGGGGUAGCAGCGGCGCAAGGGGCGCCAGAAACCCUAGGGUUUCUGGCCAUUCCAAAAAUUUUUAAGGUUUUGGGUCAUUAUUUUGUUUGGGCUAUUUUUUUUAUUUUGGCUUAAUUUGGGUUGUGGGUUUAGUUUGGGUACUAGGCCCGGGUCAAAAAUUAGUCUGUACAAUAACAAUAAUCAUCUACCUAAAAAAAUCUGCUAAGGGUAUUCUAGUCAUUUUAGUUUUUUUCCUUAUGCUAUUACAACAUCAUUCCAUUCAACCAAACACAAGAAUACUAUUACAGUUUUAUUCCAUUC